rnacentral:lncRNA from 1 species
AAAUAUCAAUUGGAAAGCUGAGAAUCAAGCCACAAAGCCAUUGAAAAAGUAUUAUUGGAGCUAAAACGAAUUUAAGGGAUUCAAGAAGAUUUGGAAGAUCAAGAUUACAGUUCUUGGGUUUUAUUAUCUUUUUGGUAUUCUUUUAUUUUCUUAGUUUGAUUUGAAUGUUUAAACUUAAUUUUAUGAUGAUGUGUGACUUGAUGG